GGGGAUGAAUUGGUUUCGACGGGUAAAGAUGAGUUCACAUGGCAGCCGAGUGGUGACGUUAUCACCGCCAAACGAUAAAUGGCAAAUCUUAUCAAUUCAAUCGUGCUUCUGCCCCUAUGGCAGUCGCUUGCUGCUAGUUUUAACUAGUACCAACCGAUUUUUGGCCGAUACUGGCCACGCACCAUCUUAAACAUAUCGCUAGUUCUUCGGAUAGUUUAAGGUGUAACCAAGAAGAAAUAGUUGCUUAUUACUGACAAAUAAGUAAUGAAAUUUAGUCAGACCCUUUGUACUUUGUUCGAUCAUUAUAAUUGUAUGAAGGUAACAAAAUGAUCUAAGCUGUAGUCAUCUGAAUGGUGCUUUAUUCGGACACGAGUUCGACUCUCGCCAUCUCCACCA
rfam:Clostridium sp. CAG:288 genomic scaffold, scf8